AAGUCUUCGGAUGGAUAGAAGAACCCCUGAUGCCGUCGAGCCAAGAAAAGUUUCUAAGUUUAGCUAAUGUUGCCCGUACCGUAAACCGACACAGGUGGGUGGGAUGAGUAUUCUAAGGCGCGUGGAAGAACUCUCUUUAAGGAACUCUGCAAAAUAGCACCGUAUCUUCGGUAUAAGGUGUGGUUAGCUUUGUAUUAGGAUUUACUCCGAAAGCAAGGAAACUUACAACAAAGAGUCCCUCCCGACUGUUUACCAAAAACACAGCACUCUGCUAACUCGUAAGAGGAUGUAUAGGGUGUGACGCCUGCCCGGUGCUCGAAGGUUAAUUGAUGGGGUUAGCAUUAGCGAAGCUCUUGAUCGAAGCCCGAGUAAACGGCGGCCGUAACUAUAACGGUCCUAAGGUAGCGAAAUUCCUUGUCGGUUAAAUACCGACCUGCAUGAAUGGCGUAACGAGAUGGGAGCUGUCUCAAAGAGGGAUCCAGUGAAAUUGUAGUGGAGGUGAAAAUUCCUCCUACCCGCGGCAAGACGGAAAGACCCCGUGGACCUUUACUACAGCUUGACACUGCUACUUGGAUAAGAAUGUGCAGGAUAGGUGGGAGGCUUUGAGUAUAUGACGCCAGUUGUAUAUGAGCCAUUGUUGAGAUACCACUCUUUCUUAUUUGGGUAGCUAACCAGCUUGAGUUAUCCUCAAGUGGGACAAUGUCUGGUGGGUAGUUUGACUGGGGCGGUCGCCUCCCAAAUAAUAACGGAGGCUUACAAAGGUUGGCUCAGAACGGUUGGAAAUCGUUCGUAGAGUAUAAAGGUAUAAGCCAGCUUAACUGCAAGACAUACAAGUCAAGCAGAGACGAAAGUCGGUCUUAGUGAUCCGGUGGUUCUGUGUGGAAGGGCCAUCGCUCAAAGGAUAAAAGGUACCCCGGGGAUAACAGGCUGAUCUCCCCCAAGAGCUCACAUCGACGGGGAGGUUUGGCACCUCGAUGUCGGCUCAUCGCAUCCUGGGGCUGGAGCAGGUCCCAAGGGUAUGGCUGUUCGCCAUUUAAAGCGGUACGCGAGCUGGGUUCAGAACGUCGUGAGACAGUUCGGUCCCUAUCUGCCGUGGGCGUAAGAAGAUUGAAGAGAUUUGACCCUAGUACGAGAGGACCGGGUUGAACAAACCACUGGUGUAGCUGUUGUUCUGCCAAGAGCAUCGCAGCGUAGCUAAGUUUGGAAAGGAUAAACGCUGAAAGCAUCUAAGCGUGAAGCCAACUCUAAGAUGAAUCUUCUCUAAGCUCUCUAGAAGACUACUAGUUUGAUAGGCUGGGUGUGUAAUGGAUGAAAGUCCUUUAGCUGACCAGUACUAAUAGAGCGUUUGGCUUAUCUUUAAUAAAGCAU
rnacentral:rRNA from 1 species